AAACAGUUUUUAUUUGGAUUACUGUUGGUCUGGAACACAAGGGGGUGGUCACUUAUAGUUACUAUAGGUCCACCUUAUCUCCACCUCUGGGCGGGGAUUGGGAAUCCACAGGGUAUAUAUCUAAUGAUAAUGAAGUGUGUAUUGUAUUUGUUUGGGGGCCAGAAUGAAUCUAAUUCUGACUGAGUCACCAUCUACCUUACCAGAGACCCCCUGGGCAGAAGUUUUACUUUGAAACCUUAGUAAGUGAUUAGGACUCCUGCUAUUUUAUCCCUUUUGUUUUUAUCUGUUGUUGGUGUAACUAAUUUGAUUGUCAUCUAUAUCUUUGUAUGCACCGUGACAUAUUUUUGCUCAUAAUAAAUAUUGCUUUAGUUCUGCUUUUGUCUGGUAAAGAAUCACGUUGCCUGAAGAGACUAAUUUGUGUUUUGCAAUUACAUAAAUAUUGUGCUAAGUUGUAUUUGGUGGGUUAUUAUUAUUGAUUUACCUUGGGGACCAAGGCACCCCAUUUAUAAAUUGUCUUGGUGGUGGCAGUGUUAAAAUAGUAAUAUUUAUAUUAUUAUGGUUAAGUGUGGGUGGAUCUUAAGGGGGAUUUUAUAAUUAUUUCCGGUCUAGUGUAGACAAAUAGUGAACUCUUUCACCAUCACUACUACGUCACGCACACUCUCAAAGUAGGGCGCGUUCGGAAGAUUUGGAAUGCCUUGAUCCCCUUUCUACCACUGGGUGUCUGCUUAAUGGCCUUUGUCCAGAAUGGAUUCUAAAUUGAGGGGGCUUGCUUUAGUGGCGAUUUAUAAGUUGGGGUUCAUUGGCAAUGGUGUAAUAACUGUGUAUUGUUAGUGAUUUCAGAGAUGGGCACAUACUUGUACCUGCAUUGUGCACCAGCAGGGAGCACUAUAUAGCUUUGUGAAAAAUAUAUCCUGUUAUCCAUUCUUAAGAUUGUUUUGUAGUAC